rnacentral:misc_RNA from 1 species
CCGCUCCCUCACCAGACGCGCCUCACAUGUGCGCGUCGCCGUUUGGGGUCGCUUUUUUUUUCCUGCUUAUCGUUCCUGUUAUCGAAAGUCCAAACAAAGAGAAAACAAUAACGGUGCACUCGAGAGGACAGCAUGUAGGGGAGCGGCUAACCACUUCCGCACACAUGGACGUAAAGCAUUCUGUGCCGUGGACACCAAAAACACUGUGGCUCGCCACCAUCAGUGCCUUCAACACUAAAGAAGCUUUUGCGAUUCACCGUGUGCCCGUAGUCCCCGACGAGCACGUUCGCUGAUAGAUGCAUAAGCCACCACCGCUCACCUGCUUUCUGCUGCGCCACGGCUGCAUCCUCGUCGUGUAGGGCGAGCCGUUCCUGCUGCCGAGUCGGGCCAUGCACCUUGCGGGCACUUCGUGCCCGUCCUCGUCCCUUCUUUCACGUACGUGCUGCGUGAUCGGCGCCAGACGGGCCCGGGCCCACUGCGCGCAUUGACCCACGUGGGCCGCGUGCGCAGUCCGGCUCGAGGGUGGUGGCGGUGGGCAUCUGUCGUGCGUGGAGCAGCGGGGUGGUGGUCCGGGCGCAUGCCGGGUGAGCUCAGGGAGGAGGUUGGCCAGCCUCAGGCCAGGCUCCCUCUGAGACCCUGCACACCCUGCCUGUAUGCCAUGCCUCGCCCUGAGGGGCCUGGAGCCGUGGCAUUCCGCAAUGUGGUGCGGCCGCUCUCCACCCCGGCGCCUGCAGGACUCGAGGGUGCUCUCGUGAUGCUGCCGGCAUGUGCGCCUCAUCAGCCCACCUGGUCGGAUGAAGGAGGUGCCGCACAGCGCGUGCACGUGCACCGUGGUGCUCCUCGGUGUGGAUGUCUUCGCGCCUUUCUCGCUCAUCACUCGCGCUCUCCUGACGGCCGCGUGCCUCGGUCGGAUGCGGCACACCACAUGCCAGCGGUGCUCGGCAUGCGCGCGUGUGCAUAGUGCUUGUGUGCGUUUUUCACCAUGUGGCCUGAUGUCGAAGUCAGAGACUCGCCAAGUAGCGUAUCUGUUG